GGGCAGCAACACUGUUAUAGAUUCCAGGGAUCUGAAUAUGACCUGUGGAAUCCACGAGGCUGUCUACAAAAUAAGAUGUAGAUAUCAGCAUAAGUGGAGCCUAUUUCUUCCCCUUGGCAAUCAUAACACCUUCUCCCUUCUGCCUAGCUCUUUACCAAAUUAGUAAGCCUAACAGCUGUUUGCAUCUGCCAAGUUGCGACACCUAACUUGAUAUAUUUGCAUAUUUAUUAAGAAAACCAUUGAGCUGCUGUUUGUGUGUAGUGUGUGAUGUGUCAGCCCAGCUGACAUGAAAACAUCAUCCUCCUAGGAUACAAAUCAGUAUUAAAAAGUCGUGUUUCACUAUGUGUGUAUGUAUUAAAAUUGCCUGUAAUCCUUAGAUGUGUGUGACUGACAUCAGCUUAACAUGUCUGAAGUCCUGGCUUUACUGGGGACAUUCCCUUCCUCAGCUGCUACCACCAGAGUUGUGUUGAGGUUUGCAAGCCUGGAGUCUUUCUACAAUGAGACUUGCCUUACAACAAUUAAACGUGGCCCUGCCCUUCAUUAGGCUGCUCCUGGGCAGCGCUCCCCAGCAAUGAUGUGUGCUCUUACCCAGCAGAGCUAUCAGGUCCAGCAGCGGCUCGUGAAUGAUGCCUCCAAAAGUUCCAGAGUGAAGGUCCUUGCUGCCACAUUCAACCUGCACCAAAAGCACUGGUUACAUGUAAAUACUCGCUACCUUAUUCUUCUGUGAGUGUUUGUUUGCCACAGUGCCUGGUGGUUCCAGUUUUUUUAAACAAGAUCACAAAUGAACAUUAUAUGUUGGGGUUUUUUUUCUAAUUAUUAAAUGGAAAACAUCAUGUCAGGAACAAUCUGCUUUGGCAGAGAAGAUGGAGCUCUGUUGUCAACCACCAGAGAGAGAAAUUCAGCUGUGUGUAGCACUCACACAUCUGAGAGCAAGGGUGCUCCUCCACUCCCCUCUUUUGCUUCAGUAAGAUUAAAGACAUCAUACAUUAAACAUUUGCAUAUUAUUAACUGUUUGUAACAUUAAAGAAUAAAUUCUUCGAGUUGUCUACCCUUUUUAUUUAAUGCAAAAUCUUCUUUUAAAAAGGCGAAAAUUAAUCUUGUUUGAUAUUAAGAAUAUAUGUCCAACCUUAAUUCAAGAUUGCAACAAAUAAAAAUUUAUAGGUCUCUUGAAUAACAAGGCUUUAGAAUUAGAGGCAUUUGAGGUAUUAAAUGGCUUCUCUUGCCAGACACAUUUUCAUACUUGGGUUUAUCAUAAAAUAUUUUCCUGCAAAGAACUUGUUUAUUCUUCUCAAAACCUCAUUACAGCUAACUGUCUACUAGCAGGGAGAGAUCAUUUUUGAUGUUUUAAUAGCAUCAUUUUUCUUAACCAAGACUUAGAAGAAUUGAAUCAAGGCUGCCAAGGCUUUUUCAGUUAAAAAAAAAUCAUUCUUUUUCAGAUGUAAAGGUUAAUGCAGAUUUUUCUUUAGUUCUCAAGUUUUUUAAUCUUCUCUCUGAAUUCCUUUUAUGCUUCAUCAGAAAGCAUUUCCAGAUGAGAAAUUUCUCAUCUUUAUUUCACAGUAGCUCACAUUGCCUGCUAAAUAUAGCACAUUGGCUACAGUGAACUUUUAUUUGCUUCUGCCGAUGGUUACAAAAAUUUUGUGUGUCUUUUAAACCCAGAGAUCCAGCUAAACUGAGUCCCUUUAGGCUGAUUCAUUGUACUAAGCAGUAUCUGCUGCAAAAGGGCAGAGUAGCAGAAGAGAUGUUUUUGGAGAGAGUUGGAGAGGCAGGUGUAGGGAUGGUGGUGCACAAGAACAGAUAUAUGAUGUGCAGAGGGGAGGAUGAGAAGAGGCUGGAAGAGUGGCAGGAGAGUAAUGGGAUAAGAAAGGGAUCAAGGGACGAAAUGAGUGAAGAAAAGUUAAUGGAAGUGAAUCAUGAACUAAUUGAACUGAAAUGAGGAAGGAAACCUGCAGAAGCCAAAAGGGAUGCAGAAGACAGCUCUGUACUCGUGAAUAUUAAGCUUUCUGCUUCAGUCUUUCUCUGCAUGCAGAUGUAAGUACAGCUACAUCAUUGCUGUCUGUCAGAGGCUCAGUUCAAGUGAACCUGUGUCCUUCACCUCCACAAAGAAGCAGGCGUUUCCCCGACAGCCAUAGGAACUGUUUGUUCAUACCAGAUAUUCCUGAAGGGUUUGCACAAUACACAGCCUCUGGACACAUCAUUCAGACCAGUGGGCUGAUGGAAAUGAAAGCACAAACCAGUGUGGGACCAAGACUCCUCUCCUUGUAAAGAGCAAAGCUAAAAAACUCAGUUCUGAAGCAAAGACAGAGAGUGAGCAUCCUAUCUGACUUGCAUGUCCAUGCAGGUGCAUUUUGACUUAGUGGAGCCUCUCUCUGAACACUCUCAAAGGAUACUGUGGAAGUCUAUGCAAAACCCUCCUUCACCCCAGGGGUCCCCAGCAGUUUGUCCCCUUGCAGCCUUGCUGUGUGAAGUGCAUAUUGCACUCCUGAUGCCAGACCUGGAACCCUGCACAUUACCUUUGUGACAGGCACUCCUCCAGCCAGAGGAGCCCAGGCCUCUAGGGCACCAGCUCUGUGUUCAUCAUUUCACUGCAAUAUAGUUCCUACCUUGAUA